UACGUAGGGUGCGAGCGUUGUCCGGAAUUACUGGGCGUAAAGAGCUCGUAGGUGGUUUGUCGCGUUGUUCGUGAAAACCUGAGGCUUAACCUUGGGCGUGCGGGCGAUACGGGCAGACUGGAGUACUGCAGGGGAGACUGGAAUUCCCGGUGUAGCGGUGAAAUGCGCAGAUAUCGGGAGGAACACCGGUGGCGAAGGCGGUUCUCUGGGCCUGUACUGACGCUGAGGAGCGAAAGCGUGGGGAGCAAACAGG
rnacentral:rRNA from 1 species